rnacentral:rRNA from 1 species
CCUACGGGUGGCAGCAGGGAGGAAUAUUGGUCAAUGGGCGGGAGCCUGAACCAGCCAAGUCGCGUGAGGGAAGACGGUCCGAUGGAUUGUAAACCUCUUGAGGCGGGGAGCAAGGCCGGGCACGUGUGCCCGGAGGGAGAGGACCCGCAGAAGAAGCAGCGGCUAACUCCGUGCCAGCAGCCGCGGUAAUACGGAGGAUGCGAGCGUUAGCCGGAUUUAUUGGGUUGAACGGGUUCGUAGGCGGAUUUUUAAGUCAGCGGUAAAAUGUCCGGGCUCACCCCGGGCCGGCCGUUGAAACGGGGGCUCUUUCGUGGGCGAGAAGUAUGCGGCAUGCGUGGUGUAGCGG